AUUGAACGCUGGCGGCAGGCCUAACACAUGCAAGUCGAGCGGAUGAAGGGAGCUUGCUCCUGGAUUCAGCGGCGGACGGGUGAGUAAUGCCUAGGAAUCUGCCUGGUAGUGGGGGAUAACGUCCGGAAACGGGCGCUAAUACCGCAUACGUCCUGAGGGAGAAAGUGGGGGAUCUUCGGACCUCACGCUAUCAGAUGAGCCUAGGUCGGAUUAGCUAGUUGGUGGGGUAAAGGCCUACCAAGGCGACGAUCCGUAACUGGUCUGAGAGGAUGAUCAGUCACACUGGAACUGAGACACGGUCCAGACUCCUACGGGAGGCAGCAGUGGGGAAUAUUGGACAAUGGGCGAAAGCCUGAUCCAACCAUGCCGCGUGUGUGGAGAAGGUCUUCGGAUUGUAAAGCACUUUAAGUUGGGAGGAAGGGCAGUAAGUUAAUACCUUGCUGUUUUGACGUUACCAACAGAAUAAGCACCGGCUAACUUCGUG
rnacentral:rRNA from 1 species